UUUAUUGAUACACAGUAAUAGCACGUAAGAAUGAUGCAAACAAUUCUAUUUAUCUACCAGUCCCAGGGUUCAUAGAGUCAAGGUACAUCUGGCCAGUACACAAGCUUCACUGUGAGGUUCUUUCUUGGAUGUCAGAUGUCAGCAACCUGAAGGUUGGAGGGCUCACGUCCCCCUCCGCCUGUGGUGUAGAUUAGACAGGCUGGUGGUAUGUCCUCUGUCCAUGGUGGCUUUGGGUUCCCCUCUCAGGAACCCUCUUCCGCUCUAAAAUCCCUCCUUUUAUAUCUUUUCCCCUCUGUGAUGACUCUUCAUCUUUGGGCAUUGCUGAUUGAUCUCUCUAUUGUUGUCAUACCAUCCACAUUCUGUCCUGUCAGGAUAUUUCUUUGCUUCACAAGCCCAUCACAUGCACACAUCCUAAUUUGGGCUUUCCCAGUCUUCUAAUUUGAUCUCUGUACCAAAAUCAGAAAUCCCAAGGGCCCUGCAGUUGAGCAUUGUGAUCUGGUGCCACCUUAUCUUAUGUUAUGGAAUAAUGUGGUACAAGUCUACAAUUUCCCAGCUUGUGUGUCUGCUUGCCUGUGUGAGACACAAAGGGCCUUAAAGCACAAGCAGGCUUUUUAGAAAUCAAGUAACCCUUCCCGUUGCCCUGGGUAUUGUUCUGAUGCAUAUCUACUUUACCUACAAGCCAAUUCCCAAAAGCAAACCUCUAAAUACCAUUUUCUAGCCAUCAAGGACCAGCUCUUUUUAUGCCAUUAAGGAAGUCACUGGUAGCAAGUGUAGCUAAUAGAUCAUUGGUGUUAGAUGUUUUCAACAAAAGACUUAAUUAAUAAGUAAGCUGCAGCUGGAGUUCCUAAUGGUGUUGAAAUGGAGCUGCAGACAGUAAUUGAGUUAUGAGGUGGCAAAUGUAUGGAUAAGUAUCUUAAGGAGCCAGCUGGUAACCUGGGUCAGCAGCUGAGCACUUGGGACAGCAGGACACUGGGAGCAGAGGUAACAUCAAGCUGUUGUCAUGCCACUGGCACUACUAUGUGGCUGCAACAGCAACUGAUAUUUUUCUCCCCCCCAACAAGUUGGCACUCAGAGCAGCUACACUGUUUGCCCCACUAGCUAUGCUAUUGAAAGGAGCAUAUCUGAAAUAAGUAUUUACCUAACCAGGCUUUUUGGGCCAUGCAUCAACAUGACCAUCUAAUAACAACCUCAUUUGAAACAUAUUGGUAUAACUCUGGGUAUGAGUUCCAAAUACGGGUAACAUGUCUCUAACAAGAAUAUUAGGCCAAUUGCCUUCACCAGUCAAGAUAUGUUCUUAUAUCUGGACUCAGACAACUAGCUCUUGCAGAUAUUGGUAUGAACAAGAAAUAUCCCCCUUUCUCUCUCCCCAGAAAUUCCAUCAUGUGGCUUUAUAUCAUCACCUAAAUUAAUCAUCAGAUGUCUGUCACCUGAGCAAACAAUAGCAGACAGCAGUAGUGGGUAGGCUAGCACACAGGUUAAUCAUGGGUACUGUUUCAGGCUUUGGAGGAGAGUGUGUUUGAAUGCUCAUCAACACUUCUAUGUAUUUCCCCCCAGCUUGAUGCCAAUAUCUCUACUCCUUCCAAACUGUUCCCCAUCCCAGUCUAAUUUACCUCAUGUGUCCCUUUGUCUCUCAUAUGCUUUCAGCAAGCCACCCCACUUUUCUCCAAGGCAGAGAGAAGGAAGAACCUGGAUUUAACAGGCCAAAGGUGCAAUUGAAGGGAAAGUGUUGAUUAGUUCUAUGAUUAUCUCAUGUAGCUGCCCAGUGGGCAUGUCUACAUGUGUCCCUAUGGCACAUUUCUUGCUGAGCCAUCAUUUAGUAUUUCCUGUUGGAAGUACUAAAUGAUGGUGCAGUAACAGCCCACCCUGCACCGUGCGUGCCACGCAUGGUUAUUUUAGCUGCUAUGUCUUCAUAGCAACAGCAAUGUAGCUGCAGUGUCACAGUGAUGUAGUGUCACGUGUAGACACAUCCAAUGUAGACAGAAUCUUUGAGAAUGUUGGUGCUAAAAUCUAAUAAAUUUCCCGGGUUUUUGGUGACUGCAGUCUUUCAAAGGUUUUUAACUUGUUCCAGCUUAUAGAGACUAUCAGUAAAACAGCAAAAGUCACAGCCCUGAUACAAACGUUAUCCCCUGACAAAUUUAAAGACCUUUUAUCUAAAUUAUAGGAGUGCAAAGAAAGAAAAUCCACUAAAGUUCCUUAUCACUGGACCAAAUCAUUUGGGACUGAAAUUUUCCAAAAUUAUUCAGGCUUCAUGAGAUAUUUAACCAUAAAAAAUUUCAGGCCAAACAAUUACAAGUUAUAACCAAAUGAAAACCAUAUCUUAUAACAGGAUAUAUUAAGGUCAACCAACCUUAAAAACAGGGAUUGCUACCUGCCAUGUCUAGUUUAUUUAUAUUAAAUAUUCACACACACACAAAGGUACCAUCACAUGGCUAAUUACCUCUUUAGUGUUCCAAAAGGAUCAUUUUCCACAUUUCAUUGUCCAUGUCUCUGUUUUUAAUUAAAACCAUAGCCAGUUUCACCAUAUUUUCACUGUCUAGAAGCAACAGCAAAGCCAGACUUUACAUUACUUUAAGCAAAAAUACUUCAGCCAUGAAUUAAGUAUAAAUAAAUGAAGCACAGAUAAAUUUCAGCUCUAGGGAUGUUUCCCUGAAUGUAUUAAAAUGUGGCAAAUGCACACCACUUCAAAUAAAAAUACAAAUAUUUGUAACUCAAAUGCACAUAAUGCAAUACAGACACUUAUAAUAUCAAAUGGGUAGAACAAGGUAGCACAUUGGAAACCAACUAGUUCAAAAAAACACACAUAUAUCCAUAUAUCUUAAAAUGUGCUCUUAAUUCUAAAUAUGGAUAAAACGUUAAUUGCAUGAGCUUCUACUUGUCCCCAGCCAAGAGAGAUACUUAGAUUGUUGGCUAUCAUAUUGCUUGAUAAACAUUUUUGUCCUCAGAUUCAUAUCUGAUUAACUUGCCCUCCUGCAGUUACAGUUACAAACCACAGCUACAAUUAAAUGACAUGAAUGUAGUACCAGACUGCACACAUAUUUAUCGUUGCCAUUAUGGCCAUGUACAUACACACAUGUAUAAAAGUGCUGCAGCUGUUUCCAGCUGCCUUUGACCCAGCAGUAUGUAUCAACACUGAAUUAUCCUAAUUCAGUUGUCAGAACCAGUAAAAGACAAGCAGGCAAGCAUUAUGACAAGGGGAAAUAAUUAAUGCUUCUCUCCUUGCAAUGUUUCUACAUGUAGAAUCUUUCAAUGCUAUUUCAUCAGCACCAGAACAAAAGGGAACUUUUCUAAUUUGUUUCUUGACUAUGAAUGGCCAUGAGAUGAUAAAUUCAUUUCUACCAUCUCACCUACAAGAAGCAAAGCAAUUAAAAUAGAAAAAAAAUAGACAAAUAAACAUCAACAGAAAUGCAUAAUGCACUCAAGAAAAGCAAGGAUCUGCUGUUAUCAUGUUCCUAUUCUUCCCUGUCUGUUUAUGAACCUGAAUUGUGUAAUGUGACUUUGCAUAAUCUUUCAAACAGAGCAGGAACUUUACUUGUUCUGUAAAGUACCUCAUAUUUUUGAGUCUUCUCAAUGUAAUUUAUUAAUUGAAGAAAAUAGUGCUGGAAGGGACCUCAAGUGGUCACUGAGUCUCACUGUUUUGACAGGAUCACACCUGCCUAACAAUCUCAGACAAAUGUUUACCUAACCUUCAGUUUAAAACUUCUCUCUAGGUAAUCCAUGCUGGUGCUUAAAUGCUCUCAUAGUUGUAAAGACUUUCUUACUAACUAAAUCACGUUUGUUACAAUUGAAGUCAUUACUUCAUGUACCAUUGCCUGUGGAUUCUGGAAUUAUGGACAAAUAUAUUUGGAGCUGUUUCAAAAGAGGAAUGUUUCAAAAGGGCAACAGUUUUUACAUUCUGUUACAUGUGUACAAGCCCAGAAUGAUACAAAUGUAGCAAAACUGUUCCAACUUUAACCCUGGAUUAAGCAGUGGUCAAAAAGUAACAACUGCUGCCAUUUUAAAACAUUCCCCUUUUGGAAAGUCUCCAAGUUUAUGUGUGUCUAUACCUUAAAAACAAUUGUCCUCCUCUUCAUAAGAACUGUGUUUAUAUUAGAAGACUAUUACAAAUUCAUCUAGUCUUAACUUAGCUAGCUUAGCUUAGCUCAUUUUUCAGAUCUGCAGUCAUUUUGUUAAUCUUCUCUGGAUUCAUUUGUCCAUAUCUUUCUGAAGGGGCAGUGGCCAAAACUCUACAUAAUGACUGCGAUUAACCAUUAUUCACAAUUAAUAAUGCAUCCAUAAAUUGUGCUGCAAAAACACUUCAUCUUCUUAUGUAGGCAUGCCUAUGAGCUGCAGAUGCAAUAGUGACAUACCCUCUGUAUCAGGAACCAAAAAUGCUAAAGAUACUCUCUGUAUCUUAAGCAAAACAGGUACUAUUGAAAUACCAUUCUGUUCUAACACCAUGCCUUAAUCCUCAUCUGCCUUAAUCCUCAUCUGGAGACUCUCAGAUGCGGACAGGUAGCAUUUAAACAAAUCUCACAUCCCAUUUAAGUCUCCAAUCACUUUGCCAAGGCUAGCAGCAAAUCCACCUAUUAAUGCCAAAUGACACUAAUGUUUUGUUAUAUCAUGUUUUGUAAUUUGAUUGCACUGAGCACCUCAGCUCCAGAAAGCCAUCAGUAGUAAAUAGCUUGGCUUAGUUGAUUCUAAUCUUUUCCUCCUAUCAUUGCACCUUUUUGAGAAGAAGUAAGAGCUGUCAUAGAAUGAGAAAGAAUGGGAAGUAGGGUGGAGAAAGGAAACGAUAUGAAUAAAGGUAUCUGAAGGAUUGGAUGGAGUAAAGGAAAGGCAAAGGAAUAGGAAGAGACAGAUGAGGAAAUGGAAGGCUAGGAAUGGGAACAAGAGAAAAAUGAAAAUGGAGAGAAAGAGGAUGAGAAGGAAGAUGCAUGGAUUUUGUGUUUGCUGGGCACGUCUACACAAGCUACUACAUUGUCGUAGUGAUUCACUACAGUAGCUUGCCACUACAGCAACAUAGCAUGGGCAGGUACAAACCAUGACAUCAAUGUUAUGUUGCCGUAGUGAUGAGCUACCUUGCUAUAGCACUUCGCUAUGGCAACGUAGCUGCUAAAAAUAACUGUGCACUGCUGGGACUGCACGGUAAUGGCUGUUACUGUACUAUCAUUUGGUACUUCCUAAAGGAAGUACUAAAUGAUGGUGCAGUAACAGCUGUGCCAUGGGGGGCACGUGUAGAUGCACCCACUGUGUAUUAUAGAUGCAAAAGCUCAAGACUUACUAGUUCUAGUAUACAAACUUCUACCCAUUAAGCUAAAGAACUUCUAAAGUUGCAGAUAUAGGAAUAUUAUUGGCAUUAAUUGUUAGAAGCCUGGAGUCCCCUGUGGUUCAGUGGUAGAAUCCUUGCCUAUCAUACAGGAGACCUGGGUUCAAUUCUGACACUUAUACAACUACAGCCAUGGAGGCAGCAAACAUCUAGACUCAGUCUGGUCUUUGGAUUCUGUCUCAGUGGCCUAAAGAGAGGAUGGCAGGUCUGGGCAUCUUCCACUCCUCUGAAAAAAAAAUUCCUGCUCAGGCAUAUGCAUCAAAGGUGUGGGUGACCCUCGUGCAUAAAUCACUAUCCAGGAGGAUUGACAAUUGCCAUAUUAGAAACCUAGUAACUUCUCUGAGACUUUGGAGAGCCACAUGUUUAGGUAGAUCUGGUAUUUAAGCUAAAUAAAGCAGUGAUCUGCAACCUCUAUGCAGUGGUGGGCAAAACAGUUUGGCUCCAGGGCUGGCCAGACCUAAGAUUUAGCUGAUAUCCCUGCUGUUUGGAUGCAGCAGGGAUAUCAUGAACAAAACCCUUCACCACCAAGCAAUAGCUCUACCUUGGCAAAUCCCCUCAGUACCAAAGCCCUUAGGGCCAAGUUGCAGUGCAGCAUGGAAGAAGUCCCCAAUGCCAAACCCCUGGUUGCCUGCCUGUGAUGUGGCAUGAGAGAAGCCCCUCACUACUGAAGCAUCUUGGUCCAUGGGGUAAAAUCAAGAGCUCCACAGACUGAAUUUAGCUUGCAGGAGGUAGGUUGCUGAGAGCCAAGAUAGAAACAAUGAUGACUCACAAACCCUAUCCAUUAUAUUCCAAUGAAAAGAAAGAAACAGCUAGGGAAACAGAGUUUUCCCCUAACACAGGGCUCCAAGAGCUUGUGGCAGACAGUAACUUUUAUCCUUUUAUAUUGCUCCCUGACCAAGGAAAAGUGGGAGAGAAGAUGCGAACAACCCUACAUUUGGGAGAAAAGAUUACAGUAACCCUACAAGAAAUUGCUGAAGAGAUACAAAUCAUGUGUUUACAGAUAUUUAUCCAUGACUUUUCUGCACUUACUACGUUAUGCUUAUAUCCCCCUUGUGCUUAUGAUAUGUAUACCUGCAACCUCUAAGGGUACCUAUCACACGUGCAACAAGACUGCUCCUACCUGCUGUAAUUACAGCGCAUUGGAGCAGACUUGAUUAAUCAAUUAAUCAAGUUUGAUGGAGCCUAGUGUAGCCAGGGUAAGGUAGAUCAAUGAAUUCUCCCCUUUAGGGACUCUUCUGCCACGCCUUUGUUAUUGAAAGAAUGAGAAAAUAUGUUAAGUCCUGAGAGAUCAUGCAAUCCAUCACCCUGCUAGUAAGCAAAAUGAAAAUUGGUUUUAUUAAGCUUCUUUGCUAUGUAACCUGGGUACACCCAGGGGUGUGCCCUGUCUGCAAGUGGAAGGGAUGGGGUGGUCAGACAAGAGUGCUGCAAGACGGGCCUGCCACUGAGGAGCAGUUCCCUCUUUUCUCUAUAGAGCCAGGCUGGGACCAAGCACUUAACUAUAUACAAAUGUAUUGUUAUACAAAAAAAUAAAUAUGAAUAAGAGACAUUACAUAUUUACAGUAGAAUUAGUAUGUGACACCAUAUACAAUAACCUGCAAAUAACACAUUGUACUACUUUGAGGGACUGCAAAACAUAGAACAGGUAACUGGGAACUCAGUACAGGUGACCCACAGCACAGGUAAUAAUUAACCCCCCCUGCAAAGAUGAACAUUAACACCCUGGAACAGGUAAGUCAAGGCAUUAACAUAAUAAACACAUAUAAGCAUCAACUUAGAAACCAAUAUAAACCCCCUUAUGGAGUACCCAUAACUAUAUUAAGAUCAACAAUACAAAACAAACAUCAAUCACAAAAUAUGAGGUGCGAUCAGCACCCCAUGGGGUGUUCCCUGGAGCCACUCCCCUUUAGGGCCCAGGAUGUGGACACGCCCCCCACCCCCACAAUGGAACAGGGUGGAGGCUCCGGACUCUCCCCUCCCAAGGCUGCCUCCCCUGUGGGACCCAUUUCCCCAGCAACUCACACUCCCACUCUGAACAGACAAGGUUUGUCCCCUGGUAGCCAGUCCUGCAAAGGCCUCUCUCCAGUAGUGCCUCUGGUUCUCUCGAUGGCAGGUGCCCUGCACUGGGCAUCCAGGGAGCUUCUACAGGAGCUGAGACCUUACUGGCUCCAGUUCCCCAGCCUCACACCAGGGGUCUUUCCCCUUCCUGGGUCCUGUUCUGGGCACUGGGGCUCUUUUAGUUUAACACUGAGCCACACUGCAGGGCUCUGGCUACCUGGCCUACAGCCGGGGCUAACUUAAGCAGCCUCAAGCCGCUCUCGAGGUUGACUCUCCAUGUGCCAACCUGUGCACCGUGUGGGGCCUGAGCAGCCUUGAGCUGCUCUCAGGGCCAGUUCUAUGUGCACUGAUCCAUGCACCGCCCCACCCAGCCACUUGCUGGGUUCGGUGGCUCAAGCUACCUUGAGCAGUUCCCAGAGCCUGAGCGCUGUGCACUGAUCCACACACCAUCGAGGCUCAGGCGGGGUCCCAAUGAUGACCUUCUCUGGAGCUCCUCUCUCCUCGCCGUCCCUUGCCAAAUCUGUCCAGCAUGCUGAGCAUACUAGACUUUUAUUUACACUGAAGGCCCUGCCCCUAAGUCCACCAGAGCUGCAAAGCACCGUCUUCAAUAAAGUCCAGGGGCUCUUCACCCCCCUCACCACCCAGCAAAGGCAGGGCAAGCCCCUCCCCACUGUUACCUGAUUGGUGGAAAUGUUCCACCAAUCUGAAAUGUCCUUCUCCAAGCCUGGCUUGCUGGGCAGAAGUGGCAAGCCCACCACAGCUACAAUCACUGUCCACAACUUUACUUUCAUUUUUCCCACUUGGUUGCUGUAGCAGGACACUAAGGUGCCUGCUACUGAGAGAGCACGGAAGACUCCUCAGGUGCUGGUUGCCAGGGUAAUGGGAGGCAGCAAAUGACUCACACCUGCCAGCGGUCAGGGCUAUAAGAGGCAAGGCCUGGCUCUUAUGAGAAGGGAAGAGGGUAGCUGAGACCAGAGGCAUUUGCUGAUUGGCAUCUAAGACAGCAGGCGCUCCCUGCCAGAGAGAGAGAGAAACUCCUGGAGCAUGAUACAAGGAGAAUCCUGACUGCAGGUACUGCUUGCAGAUUAAAGGGUACCAGCUCCAAAGAAGGGCCUGGUGAGGAGGGCAACCUUGCAGGGGGAAGAGCCGUGGUGAGAAGGGCAACCUUGCAGGGGGAAGAGCCGUGGUGAGAAGGGCGGCGUAUAGAGAAGACCCGCAAGGCCUAGACACGCCGGACACCCGGAGCAGGAGAACUGUGGCCAAGUGGCGGAGAGGUCCCUGCUUCCUGCCUCAGUCCCACCAGGAGUUUCCCUCGUCAGACCCACCAGGACAGACAAGAUUUAUGGGGACAUAAGGACAACAUGACUACAGAACUGGACUCCUUUUUCGCAAGAGAGGAAGCUACUGCCCUCACAGGAAACCAGCUGCCCUGCUCCACCUCCAGCGAUUGUCAUUAAAUAAAAUGGAUGACUAUUUAAAGUACAAAAUUCAUUAGGGACAGGAAGCAAGAGCUAGAACCGAAGAUUAUCUCCCUUCCAGAGUUAUAUAAUUAUCCACAACUAAUACUUUCUAUCUCUGAUUGGUUAGGAGACUUUAUUCACCAUAAUGGAAUCAUGACCUGUCCUUAGGUAUUCAUACCUUCAUCACCUCUCAGCUAGACUACACAGCAAUGUGAUAUACUUGUGCAUGAUGCCUCCACAUACUUAGGAAACUCCAGUUGCUGCAGAAUAGUACAGUACAUUUCCUCACAAGCUUUGGUAAACACGUCAAAUCUUUUCUUUACAACCUAUGCUAACUUCCCAUAGAACACAAAAUCAAGUUCAAAGUCUUUUUCCUAAACUUCAAGGUUCUUAUUUGCCUCAGCUCAAGGAACAUUACAUUGAGACUGGGCAUGCCACCAAGAAAUAAGCCCUGUUCACCUGCACACCAGCUUGCAAAUUUGUAGAAAAGAUGACUCAAUGCAGCCUCAAGCAUUCACCCUGGAACACACAGGACAGACAGCCUAAACAUGGUGCUUGUCAGAGGUGUAGCUGCCUAAGACUGCACCCAGACCAGUCUGUACCUUCUGGUUCUGGAGCAGUGGGUAGAAGCAGCAACUGAAAUUCACUGCUGUUGAGGGCAGUGAAUUAAACUCACAACUAGGGCAUUAAACAGUAUGACUAAAAUCUGCCAUGAAUUUGUUCCCUCUUCCUCUCCCCAGGUGGAGAAUAGUAUGCUUAUAGUAUGUGAAGCUUGUCUACUGCCUGGGUAUUGCAUUUCCCAAUAAUACCAUGAAAUUAGAAUCAUUUGGAAUUUGAAAAGCUCCUCACAUAAAACAAGGAUAAGGAAUAUUAGUAAUUAAUAUGGCUUUACACCUCUUUUUUUGCCACAGACACCCAUCCUUACACUACUGGUGCUUAGAUAUGCAGUUGUAGCCAUGUCCAGCCAUCUCCUCCACAAAUUUUCAAGCCACAGGGUUUACACAAUGGGUCGGUCUUAUUUCUUAGAAGCAUACCCAGUGUCAGGAGGCAGUGAAGAUAGCCCCUAAAAGCCUUCCUUGAGUUCUAAGGAGAAGGCUGUAAUUGUAACUUCAGCAGUGGCAGCAGAAAUCCUUCAAAAUAGAGGAUGAUGAAUCCCAUGGGUCAAGUGAAGGGUUGUAAAUGAGUCCACUGGUGGCUAAGAAGGGCGAUCAUAGAACCACAGACUCUCUGGCAAAUGCCACAGGUGGUGGCUAAAAGCAGAGUUGGACCAUGGAUUUCUCAGCCUUGUUUGCUUUCUUUCCAUUUCUGUUGUUUUUCUGCCUCCAGGGCAAAAUGGUUUUCCUCAAAGUAGGAUGUACCUUCUCUCACAAGGCAUCACUAUGUAGCUCUGUCCCAAGCUAGUUUUUCCCAAUUUGUGGUGUCAGUGCCACACUUCUUAAUGUUUUGCUUGAGUACAUCCUUGAAGUGUUUCCUCUGGCCCCCACAUGUCCUUUGUCCUUGGCUGAGUUGGGAGUAUAGCAGUUGUAUCAGUAAAAAUACAUUAGGCAUGUACACACAAUGCCCUGUACACAGCAACUGAUGUUGAAUAAUCAAUACUUCCAUACCGGUGGUGGUAGCAUUGAUGAGGACACUGGUAUUUGUGCAACAAUCCUCCCACUUCAUGCCAAGGAUCUUCUGGAGAUAGUGCUGGUGAUGGUGUUCUAGACUUUUCAGGUGGUCCCUGUAGAUCACCUAAGC